CCUUGAGAGGUUGAGGCUGCAGUGAGCUAUGAUCACACCACUGCACUCAAGCCUGAACAACAGAGCAAGACCCUGCCUCAAAAAGAAAAAUUCCAGUAAGAACUCUGGACACAAAAACUCAGUGGAGCUUCCUGAUUGGUGUCUUGAAAAUGUCAGAUGCUGGUGACAAGUGCAGAAGAGGAGGUCACAGACUGAAGUGUCUGCAGGGUCAGGCAUUGGGGGAAAGGAAUAAAGAAGAGCAACAAAAAGUCUCUGCCCUUAAGAAGCUUUUGAGCAGCAGUUAAACAAGGACAAAAAUACAUAAUGCCAUUUUGCGAUAAGGUCUAUGAAAGAAAUAAGCAAUGUGACAUUAACAGCCACAAGCAGAUGAAAUGUGAGAGUUACAUUAAAUAGGUGGUCAAAGAAGGUGUCUUUGUGGCAGUGAUCUCUGACUUAAGACCUGAAGGAGAAGGCACCAGCCACACAAAGAUGCAGGGAGGGUGUGGUCUGGGUAAGAGGACAGUAAGUACAAAGUCCCUGAGGAAUCCAGAUGGAGGCCAAAGAUACUCCAGUCCAGUGGGUUGUGAGUGGGUAAGACCACGUUACAUAGGUACACUGGGCCAGAUCCUGGAGAAUUUUACAGAUCAUGAGUAGUAGACCAUGUUUUGCUAUCCGGUCCAACUCCCAGAGCACCACUUUUUGGAAUGGAGCACUCCUUUUCCCAGCUGCCAAGAGCGUGGGCAAUGCCAGUUUGAAGCUGAAGUCUCACUGGGAAUUGCCCUUGGCUGAAGAGAUCCUGGUGGUGGUCCAAGGUCACACUUGUUUUCCAGAGGGCAGCCCAGGAAUGACUGGCAAUGCUAAGAUACAAAGACUGGGCUCCUUUUGAUUCAAUUAAGGAUGACGCUGCAUAGUCACGCAGGUUCCCAAGCUCUGUGGGACUGGUGGCGGCUUUUGCUGCAACUGUUUUCUUCUCUGUCCAAUCCUGCCUCCUUCAUGUCCUCCACAGGAGUUGACCCUGAGAGCACUCCCUGAUUAAUCUCCUAUAUUCUGACCUUCAUCUCAGGAUCUACUUCUUGGAAAAAUUGAACUGCAACACCAUGGUUUAUGUUUUAUGUACAAACUGAAUCUGAAUAAAGCUUUAUGCAGAAGGGUGACAUCUGAUUGGCAAUUUAGGAAGAGGACCCUGGUUCCUGAUUGAAGAAUGGAUUAUAAUUGGGCAAGGGUGGAGGCCCUCCUAUAACUUUCAAAAGCUGUGAUGGGUUCAAGGGGAGAUAUGUUUUUUCCACUUUGAGCUGUUUCUCAGGAUAUUACGUGCUAUGUUGUUUAUGCUGGCUGGAAGGAUAUGCAAGUCCAGCCCUAACACUGGAGAAAAGAUUAUUCAAAAGCAGAAGACUAUGAUUUCACUCAUCGGUCCAGGCAGGACUGUGAAUGUCUUAGAUGAACUUCUCUCCAAGACUAGAUAAGUGGAUGUUGGAGAAUGUUCUAAUAUCGGGCCACUGGUUUUUUGUUUUUUUUUUUUAGAUGGAGUUUCACUGUUUAGCCCAACCUGGAGUGCAAUGGUGCGAU